GGGCGGCUUACACAUGCAGUCGAGCGGUAACAGGGGGUGCUUGCACCCCGCUGACGAGCGGCGGACGGGUGAGUAAUGCAUAGGAAUCUGCCCAGUAGUGGGGGAUAGCCCGGGGAAACCCGGAUUAAUACCGCAUACGCCCUUUGGGAGAAAGCAGGGGAUCUUCGGACCUUGCGCUAUUGGAUGAGCCUAUGUCGGAUUAGCUAGUUGGUGGGGUAAAGGCCUACCAAGGCGACGAUCCGUAGCUGGUCUGAGAGGAUGAUCAGCCACAUCGGGACUGAGACACGGCCCGAACUCCUACGGGAGGCAGCAGUGGGGAAUAUUGGACAAUGGGGGCAACCCUGAUCCAGCCAUGCCGCGUGUGUGAAGAAGGCUUUCGGGUUGUAAAGCACUUUCAGUGAGGAGGAAAACCUUCUGGUUAAUACCCAUGAGGCUUGACGUUACUCACAGAAGAAGCACCGGCUAACUCCGUGCCAGCAGCCGCGGUAAUACGGAGGGUGCAAGCGUUAAUCGGAAUUACUGGGCGUAAAGCGCGCGUAGGUGGUUUGAUAAGCGAGAUGUGAAAGCCCCGGGCUUAACCUGGGAACGGCAUUUCGAACUGUCAGGCUAG
rnacentral:rRNA from 1 species